rnacentral:rRNA from 1 species
CGGAUUGCAGGCUGCAACCCGCCUGCAUGAAGCUGGAAUCGCUAGUAAUCGCGGAUCAGAAUGCCGCGGUGAAUACGUUCCCGGGUCUUGUACACACCGCCCGUCAAACCAUGAGAGUUGGCAACACCCGAAGUCGGUAGUCUAACCGCAAGGAGGACGCCGCCGAAGGUGGGGUUGAUGAUUAGGGUUAAGUCGUAACAAGGUAGC